rnacentral:rRNA from 1 species
CAGUCGCCACGGUAAAACGUAGGGUCCGAGCGUUGUCCGGAAUUAUUGGGCGUAAAGGGCUCGUAGGCGGUUUGUCGCGUCGGGAGUGAAAACCAGCAGCUUAACUGCUGGCCUGCUUUCGAUACGGGCAGACUUGAGGCAUUCAGGGGAGAACGGAAUUCCUGGUGUAGCGGUGAAAUGCGCAGAUAUCAGGAGGAACGCCGGUGGCGAAGGCGGUUCUCUGGGAAUGUUCUGACGCUGAGGAGCGAAAGUGUGGGGAGCGAACAGGAUUAGAUACCCCGGUAGUCCCUGUCUCUUAUAC